rnacentral:tRNA from 1 species
UUUUUUUUUUUUUUUUUUUCCUUUUUCUUUUUAGGGCCACACUCGCAGCAUAUGGAGAGUCCCAGGCUAAGAGCUGAAUCAGAGUUGCAGCUACCCGCCUAUGCCACAGCCACAGCCACGCCACCAGUUCUAUUAAGCUUUGCUGUAUAUAUUUUGAACUUAUGUUAUUUACACAAAUUUAAUACUGGCAUGUUCUCCUAGUGAAAUUAACUUUUAUAAUUAUCUUUACCUCUGGUAAUAUAUUUAGUCUUAAAGUCACCUUUGUCUUUUAGGACUAUAGCUACAUCAGCUUUUUUUAAAAAAACUAGUAUUUUGUUUUAUUUUAUUCUACUUGGCUUUUUACGGCCACACCCAUGGCAUAUGGAAGUUCCCAGGCUAGGGGUUGAACUGGAGUCGUAGCCACUGGCCUACACCACAGCCACAGCAAUGCCAGAUCCGAGCUUUGUCUGUGACCUACACUGCAGCUCACAGCAACGCCAGAUCCUUAACCCAUUGAGCGAGGCCAGGAUCGAACCUGCGUCCUCAUGGAUCUCGGUCAGAUUCAUUUCUGCUGAGCCACAAUGGGAACUCCCAAAACUUGUAUUUUUAUUACUUUAAAACUUUUUUCUUAGGCUUUAGAUGCGUUUUCAUUUUUAAACAACAUAAUCUGCCCCCCCCCAGUCCAGUCUGAAAAUUUUGCCUCUUAACUGGAACAUUUAGUCCGUUUAUAAUAAAUGUAAAUGCGUAGUUAAUAUAAAUGUAAUGCAUACCUACGAUAAAUAUUUGGAAUUAAAUACUUUGUGCUAUUUGUCUCAUCCUAUACUUUUUUCUUUUCUUUCUGGCCUUUAAGGAAUUGUCUGCCUGUGUUUUACUAUUUAAUUCAUAUAAUUUAUUUCCUUAAAGAUUUGAAACGAUAUACUCUGUUUCUAUUCGUUUAGUGCAGGGGCUGGCAGGUUUUUUUUUUUCUGUAGAAAGCCAGAUGGUAAAUAUUUUAGGCUUUGCACGCCACAGACAGUCUGUCACACAUGCUUCUUUGUUUGGAUUUUUAUAACCCUUUUUGUACAUCCAAACCAUCCUUUGCUUGCAAGCCCUACAAAAACAGGCUGCAAGCUGGGUUUGACCCAUGGGCGAGAGUGUCCUGACUCUGGUUUUGGUGUUAUAAUUUACUAGAAAUUAUAACAUGCAUAUUUAUUAAAGCCUAAAAUUAAUCAAAACCUUUUAUCCUUCCCCUGAAUAACACAUUGCUAUUAGAACAUUUCGAGGCUAUUCACUUCCUGCUCCCAAUUUAUUUGUUACGUUGUCUGGUAUUUUCAUUUUAUUUUUAUUACUGUUAUUUUUUGGCCAUGCCCAAGGCAUGCGGAAUUCCCCAGGGUCCAGGGAUCGAACCUGAGCCACCGCAGCGACAAUGCCAGCUCCUUAGCCACUAGGCCACCAGGGAACUCCUGUACUUCGACAUCUUUGACCUGGUUACGACCAUUGGCUUUGCAAAAUGGCUGGUGGGCCUUCCCCCAAGGUCUGGCAUGGAUGCGACUCCCUCCAGCCUUGUGUUUGUUUCUGAUGGGCCGCUGGGACACGGACAGGUGGAAAGAUGUCAGACCAAGUUCCCAGCUUGAGGUUCCCUGUGUGCGCGGGCAGGCUGUUACCUGGGGCGGCGGAGUGCCUGCGUGUCAGUCUACAGCUACCAUCCUCAGAGUGGCCUGCUUCCCGGCCCCUUUGCUUCUGCUCUUCUCAGUCCCAAAUUGCUUCCUGGGGCCAAGCGGAGGGGCUUGCUUUUGUUCUGGUUGACUUUUUUCCUGAGGUGGGGGUCCUGACCUACCUGGGGAAGGUCUGCUUAAAGACUCUCCUCCUGUGACGUUGGCCUCGACUUCUGUCCUGCUCACCCUGAAAGCCCCCAGACCCAAGCCCAAGUGGGAGGCAUCUGCCAAUGCCCUUCGUACAGAAGUGGCUUUGGUGAUUCUCUUAUUUUGCUUACCCCUCUGGGGUUGGAUUCUCUCCUCACAUUUAGCCAGAGCUGCUGCCCCCUGAUCUUUCUGGCUCUUCAAUUAAAUUUUUUUACUCAGCAUUUUAAACUGUGUUCAGAGGGAAAAGGAAGUCUACCGUCCCUGGAAACAAAUCUCUUAAGAUCAGUUUGAGUGUGAGAGGCUGAGGGGAUGUUUUGUGUUGAGAUGCGUAAAAGAAAAUCUUGGCGUUCCCGUUGUGGCUUAGUGGUUAAUGAACCUGACUAGUAUUCAUGAAGAUGCGGGUUCGAUCCCUGGCCUCCCUCUGUGCGUCAAGUAUCUGGCGUUGCCGUGAGCUGUGGUGUAGGUUGCAGACGCAGCUGGGAUCCCGUGUUGCUGUGGCUCUGGCCGGCAGCCACAGCUCCAAUUGGACCCCUAGCUAGCCUGGAAACCUCCAUAUGCCAAGGGUGUGGCCCUAAAAAGACAAAAAAGAAAAAAAAAUCUUCUCUUUAUAGUGCCAGUCUCUACAUAUAUCCAGCCUACACCUUGUCACCCCUCGGGUGUCCCAUUGCCAGGAUGCUGCGUCCCCUGAGAGGGUGUGAACAGAAGGAAGUUAGAGAUGGCUGGCUGAGCUCAGCGAAAGAUCAGAUGCUUUUCCUUCCUAGGGGAGGCAGGAAGGUGGAGCCUGACUCCCCACCUCCUGGCACACCUCCCAGUGACCUCACCUAGGUCCACUUGUCCCUGAACUGCUGCGCUAAGAACCUCCUGCGUCCUACUGGAGGGGAUGCUUGGUGAAAAGGGUGCAGUGCUGUGGGUUGAUGAGAGCACUGGCUGCCCAGAAAUCACAGCUCCCUCAUGUACAAGUUACAUAACCUCAGGAAGUUACCUCACCUCUCCUGGUCUCAGUUUACAGAUCUGCAAUAUGGGCUGAUUAUAAGAUUAACUAGCUUAUAGAGUUGAUAGAAUAAACUAGUUAACAAUGGUGAUGGAACUAUAAAAUCUUUUUCAAAAUGGGCUGAUAGGAGUUCCCUGGUGGCUCCGUGGGGUAAGAACCUAGUGUUGUCACUGCUGUGGCUUGGGUUGCUGCUGUGGCAUGAGUUUGAUCCCUGGCCCAGGAACGUCCACAUGCCAUGGAUGUGGCCAAAAAAAGACAAAAAAAUAAAUAAAAAGGGAUGAUAAAAACUAUCUCACACACUUCUCCAGGUCAACUGAAAUCAUAGACCCAUUAUGACUAUUGCAUUUGCUCUUUGAAUCUCAUGCAACUCUUCAUUUUUGAGAUGAGAGGCUGAGACCCAGAGAAGGCAGGGAUUCCAUCAAAGCCUCCCAGCCGGCCACUGGCUCCCUGACCUGAGAAGGGGUAUGCCAGGGUCCCGGCCCCAGGUCUGCCACCACUGACUCCUGUGUGACGGUGGCCUCAUCUGUUCCCUCUCUGGGCCUUGGUUUGUCUCUCUGCCUGCCUCCUGCUCCGUCUGACUGGUGGGGGGGCAGUGUUCUGACCAAGGUUUUGUAAUGGGAUGUUUGGGGGUUUUAGUUGUUAAGUCACGUAAGGACCCAGAAGGGCCGGGCAGGGGUGCAGCAGUGGUGACUUGAGGCUGCCUUCCAGGAACCCACGCACUUGAGAACUUGCAGCCUCAAACCAACUGCUUGUACCGCCCAUAGCACUUAAGGAGGUGUUAGCCAACAGCGGCGACUUGGUAGGUAGCUUCUCACGGAGGGGGGUGGGAAUGACAGUGAGGGGGUGGCCUCAGACAGGCACAACGCCUCUAUUCAGACUCACCUUCCCUGAGCUGAGGCAGGACACCUGGGCUCUGGCUUCCGAUUCUGUUUCGAGCCAGCCCCCGCCCCUUUCUGGGCCUUAGUCCCCAGUCAAAGAAAUGGGACCAGAGACAGCAUAGAUAAGUCUCGAGAGUCCCAUGUGACCUGCCCAUCAGGCAAAGGUGUGACUGUGCAUCCUGGUGUGUGGACAGGAGAACCUCCACCUGCCCCUGCACAGGGGAAAGGCAGCGCUGAGUGGGGAUACGGAACCGCUGCCCGGACUGCCUUAUUGUCGGACCUUGCUGAGCCUCAGUGCUCCCUACCUGCGCAAGGGGAGAGCAGGGGCCUCCAGCACAGCAGGGCUGGGAGGAUCCCCUGAGAUGAUCCCAGGGCCCGGCCCAGCUGUCAGAACAAAAAGCAACUCCCAUUCACCAAGGCCGCCUCCCACCCGGCCUCCACUCCCAGAGGAAGCCAAGACCUCGGAAGAGGCCUUGGCUGUGAUGGUUCCAGAGCAGGUGCCUCAACCCCCCCUCCUGUGGCCGGGGCUCUCACACACCCAUAUCCUGUCCUGCCUCCAGGCCAACCCCCAAAUUAUCAUUUAGUUUGGACCACCAGCUUGCAGGCGGUUAAUUGCGCCCAUCAGGAAACAGGAAGAACUAUAAUGAGCAAUUCAUUAAUAAAACUGGUGACUGCCCGAGCUAAUGCUUUCGGGGAGAACUGAUUUCAUUAGCCACUUGGUCCCUCUGGCAAAGGCUGAGAUCUGCGGCUCGCAUCCUCCAGGAUCCUAGGGGACAUAAGCUACCGCUGAUUCUCCUUGUGCAGAGAGCCAGCUCUGUGCCAAGCAGUGCGCUUGGCAAAGCCCACCAGAUGCGGUCCUUACAGUGUGAUGUUCUCAUUAUGCCUGUUUCGUAGGUGGGAAAUUGACACUCAGAAAGAUUACUCUCUUCCCAAGGACACGUAACUAAGUACAAAUUGGUUCCAGUCUGUGACUCCAAAGGUGUUUUCUCCUUGCGCGACCCCCUCAAAUACAUGGUUCUUUUUAUGGAUGGGAGGUCCCAGAGUCUGUGAGCUAAGAAACUGUUGCCUGACUCCCUCCUAGGCUUGUGGGGGUUUGAAGGGGAUAAUGCGUGGACUCAACGUCGGUUCCUAAAGCAACCCCACUGUUUUAGUGAAAAAAGGAAUCCCUCAGGUGUUAGACACACUGAGGCUGGCUUGUCCCCUCCAGCCACUCUCCUGCCGCUCAAGCCACUGGCCUCCAUCUUCAAGUUCCAGAGUCUUCCUCUGCUGCUCACUUAGCUCUUGCCUGUCCGUGGCUCUCUCCACGAGAGACAGCAUGAAUGUGAUUUUAGAUGGCACGGGGAGAUUGGUUUUUAAUUUCAGUCUCAUGAAUAGCUUUUCAUUAAUUAUGGCCUGUGACUGUGGACCUUUAACACAGAAUGUUGUGUUUUCUUUAAAAAGCAAUCAUUCUGAAUUCAGUUUAUGAAGGCUCAUAGAGGAGUUCCCGUUGUGGCUUAGCAGUAAUGAACCCAACUCAUAUCCAUGAGGUUGUGGAUUCGAUCCCUGGCCUUGCUCAGUGGGUUGAAGAUCCAGCGUUGCUGUGAGCUGUGGUGUAGGUUCCAGACGCAGCUCAGAUCCUGCGUGGCUGUGGUGUAGGCUGGCAGCAGUAGAUCCAAUUUGACCCCUAGCCUGGGAACCUCCAUGUGCUGUGGGUAUGG